CGUGACUCUCCUUGCUGAGAUCGUCCAUCCCUCUUCCUGGAGACCUGAGCUCCUGUUCUCCAUGGUGAUCCAUUCAGUGACUUCUCCAAACUAUCUGGUAACAGUAUUGGCUCAGACCACGGAACUGCCCUUUGAUACCAAUUGCAAGUUCUCUGACCCACUGUGGAUCCAUGCUCAGUCUGCAUACAACACUCAGGUCUAGGCAGCCACGUGGCAUCCUGGCGCUUCAGUGUGGAGGCCAGAAGAGGAGAGGAAUCCUCACCAAACAGACAGAUCAUCGAGAGAGAAGGAAUCUACAUUCCCUCGCCAAAUGCAACACUAGAAGUGAACACAGACUUGGAAGUUGGCAACGUGCUUGAGAAAUGCUAGGGUGACUUAUCUGGGCUGCAGGCAAGGGAGCAAAGUGACCCAUGGGGCCAAUCACCAACACAGGAUCCACCAAGUAUUGAAUGACCAUUCUUGGUCAUCGCUAUUCAGAGAGGCAGAAGUAAUUUUUACUGGAAAGCCCACAAGCAUGACUUUUCCAUCCCUUCAGUUUGCAAGUUCGUGCAGAUGAUAGGAGAAAAAAUAGCCCAGCACAUUUGCAUUUAAGUCUUGAAAUCUAAAUAUUUCCAUGAGUCAUUCAUUAUUCCCGUAUAACUCAGUGUUUGCAUGCAAAUAACUUUAAUGACAUAAAUGCUUAUAAAAUAAGUCUCU
rnacentral:lncRNA from 1 species